ensembl:snoRNA
UUUGCCCUGAAUCAAGGCUGGCAGCUUCCUGACGCUGCUGGUUUCAAGCAGGAGCCUAAAGAGAUGUCUUUCUAUAGUCUGUUGGCCAUUUCAGAACUUGGGCAGUGAAAGAGAAAGAAAUGAAG